rnacentral:rRNA from 1 species
GGGAAUCUUGCACAAUGGGGGAAACCCUGAUGCAGCGACGCCGCGUGAACGAUGAAGCCCUUCGGGGUGUAAAGUUCUUUCGACAGGAACGAUAAUGACGGUACCUGGAGAAGAAGCUGCGGCUAACUACGUGCCAGCAGCCGCGGUAAUACGUAGGCAGCGAGCGUUGUUCGGAGUUACUGGGCGUAAAGAGUGCGUAGGCGGCGAGCCAAGUUUGGUGUGAAAUCUCCCGGCUUAACCGGGAGGGUGCGCCGAAAACUGGUUGGCUGGAGUAUGGGAGAGGAAAGCGGAAUUCCUGGUGUAGCGGUGAAAUGCGUAGAUAUCAGGAGGAACACCUGCGGUGUAGACAGCUUUCUGGACCAAAACUGACGCUGAGGCACGAAAGCGUGGGUAGCAAACA